GUCGGCGAGAGGGGGGAAUAACCCACCCACUUGCAUGCCCACUUGCCUCCUACAAUUAAGAAUAUGGAUGGCAUAGUAUCAAGUCACUUCUAUAAAUAGCCAUGACUACCUCACUCCAUUUCAUCCUCCAAGCUCCCCUUCAUACACCUCUCUACUACUUCCUCUUCUUACUUUCUUCCUCCUACUAGCUUCUUCCUCCUCCAUACUCACCUCCUUUUUAUCCUUCAUCCGUGGUCUUGGGCUCCUCACGAGUACCCACCUCGCUGCCACCAAACUGCCGCCACUCGACCACCGUCAUGCCGCCACCUCCUUCCUUGUUGUUGUUGACCGAGGAAUUUCGGGUUCGAAAUUAGGAGCUCCGUAAUUGUGUGCAAAGAUCGAGAUAGGUGAUGGAGAUCGGACAACGUGAACUAUAUGCUGCAUUGGGAAUGAUGGGCGGUGAUCACCUAGUAAACAUAGUGUUAGUGGUGUAGCUACUUUGAAAGUGUAUCAAACUAUUAUUAUUACUAUUAUUAUUAAUAAAAGAUAAGUACUGUUUUCCGCUGCAAAA